AAGUCCUCAAACCACAUUGAUUGUUUUCGGUGUGGUUUGGAUGUGGGGGUUUUUGCAGGCUUUAGAAAUGAAGUCUGCUCCUCUGAAAUGCAUUAGUGGUAUCUGAGCAGAAGGACUACUACAGGUGUGAUAAUUUAUCUAUGCCUUGGUAAUGCUGCAUGAACGGAUUGCACUGCUUCCAACCCAAAAAAGUUUAUUUU
rnacentral:misc_RNA from 1 species